rnacentral:rRNA from 1 species
GACAGAGGUCCCGAGCGUUAGGCGGAAUCACUGGGCUUAAAGCGUGUGUAGGCGGAUGCCUAAGUACCUUGUGAAAUCCCACGGCUCACCCGUGGAACUGCUUGGUAUACUGGGUGUCUUGAGCCACUUAGGGGCUACCGGAACAAAUGGUGGAGCGGUGAAAUGCGUAGAUAUCAUUGGAACGCCAAUGGUGAAAACAGGUAGCUGGGAGUGUGCUGACGCUGAGACACGAAAGCCAGGGGAGCAAACGGG